GAUGAACGCUGGCGGCGUGCCUAAUACAUGCAAGUCGAGCGAACGGACGAGAAGCUUGCUUCUCUGAUGUUAGCGGCGGACGGGUGAGUAACACGUGGAUAACCUACCUAUAAGACUGGGAUAACUUCGGGAAACCGGGGCUAAUACCGGAUAAUAUUUUGAACCGCAUGGUUCAAAAGUGAAAGACGGUCUUGCUGUCACUUAUAGAUGGAUCCGCGCUGCAUUAGCUAGUUGGUAAGGUAACGGCUUACCAAGGCAACGAUGCAUAGCCGACCUGAGAGGGUGAUCGGCCACACUGGAUCUGAGACACGGUCCAGACUCCUACGGGAGGCAGCAGUAGGGAAUCUUCCGCAAUGGGCGAAAGCCUGACGGAGCAACGCCGCGUGAGUGAUGAAGGUCUUCGGAUCGUAAAACUCUGUUAUUAGGGAAGAACAUAUGUGUAAGUAACUGUGCACAUCUUGACGGUACCUAAUCAGAAAGCCACGGCUAACUACGUG
rnacentral:rRNA from 1 species